GGCCUGCGGGAGCUUAGACUUGCCUACAUCACAGAUCCCUGGAUCAGCACUGGCUUUCUAUCUAAGCUUCCCUGGUUUAGAUGCAAAAGAGACUCAUCUGUCCCAUCCACCCCUGCAUCCCCUGAGCCUCGUACAGUGCUCAUGCUGUGAACACAGUGAAGCAGAAUGAAUGACCUGAGGAAGUGCCAAUGGGAGGACCCAGAAUGACAGAGGGGCCAUGGGGAAACAGAAGCCAAGUGGGAGAGGGCAGAGGAGACUUAAGGUUCCUUGGGGACAGCCUUUGGAGGAAGAAUCUGUGCUCCAGUUACAAGAGGCACCUAAAGAAGCUCAGAAACAGAGGCUGCCCCUUCCAGAGCAUAACAGCCAGCUCAUCUCAGGACCUCAGUGUCCACAUCUGGCCGCUGCACCAGAUACUGGCCAAGGUCCCUCCCAAUAACAGCUUCUCACACACUAGGUCCUUCCAAACUGGUACCUGGGUGCAGAGGAGUGCUAUGCUCUGAAAUGUAUGAGGGUCUGGUCUGAAUUUGAACAUCAGUGGCAAAGAUGCUGAAGAACCCUACGGAUUCCACAAGGAAGUGGAUGACUUUGCAAAGAAAGCAAAGGAGGGGCGACAGCCAGGGCCAGCCUUAAUGAAGCCCUAACGAACUGAACAAGUUUCCACAAUUCAGGACAACAAUGGGAGAGGAACCAGUGGGGACCAGAAAACAAUCAAUGCCUUUGAUGAAGCAUUGCUGAUGAAAUUUCCCAUUGGUGCUUUAAUCUGGCUCCCCGGAGGUUGUCGGCUUUGCAGUAUCUUCAAGGAAAAUCAUCUCUUUUUUGAGACAGAGUCUUGCUCUGUCAUCCAGGCUGGAGUGCAGUGGUGUGAUCUCAGCUCACUGUAACCUCUGCCUCCAAGGUUCAAGUAAUUCUCAUGCCUCAGCCUCCCAAGUAGUUGGGAUUAUAGGCACUUAUCAGCACGUGCCACCACAUCCGGCUAGUAUCUGGAUUUUUAGUAGAGACGGCUACUGACCAGGCUGGUCUCGAACUCCUGGCCUCAAGUGAUCCACCCACCUCAGCCUCCCAAAGUGCUAGGAUUACAGGUGUGAGCCACUGUGCCCAGUCAGAAAAUCAUCUUGAAUGUACAUUAUACUCCACGUCACUACACAGAGAGCUUGGUCCUCCUGCUACUCCCGACCCCGACCCCUGCCCACCACAGUUUACCACGUAAGUCUUCAACGUCAGACAAUGGCAACCUCAAGACACUCAGUGGGUCCGCGCAUGGCUCUUUUCUGUACAAGACCGUCUUCCUCACCAGCUUUUGCACUCAGCAGGUAUAACUCUUUCAUCAGAGUCUCAGUAUACCAACAGCAUUCUGCACUUGGUGCUGAAGCCAGCCUCCUCGGGCUGGGACCCAUCUCUCACAAUGAUGAAGCCUCAAUAAACAUCAAAGCACUCUUCGGGAACUGGCUUGGUUUCAAUACGAGAGUGGAGUCCAUCCCAAGCUGACUCCAAGCCAACCUGGAUUCUGAGCCACUCUCAGUAUAAAUGGUCAAGAGCAAAACAAACUGUUUCCACACUGCUCCAAAGCUGAGCUGUGCCCAGCGUUCACACCUAUAGUUCCCUGAAUGCUGUUCUGCCUGCCUGCAUUAGCACCUGCUGCUCCCUGUCUGAAAUGCUGUUCCCAGUGCUGGCCUUCAAAACUCGGUUUAAACUGUCACCUUCUCUAUAAAGCCUUUCCCAUCCCCUCCAGGCAGAGUCUGUUUGGUUCAAUAGUUCCUGAGGGUGUGAGUCCAGCGAGGUCCUGUGCUUCAAAUGAAGUGCAGGGAGGAGAAACGUAUUUGGCCAUACCUUCCCAGGCUAGAGUUUCCAAAUAACCCCUUACUUGAAAAUCUAUUUAAAAAUUUUUACUGUAUGAUAUUUAAGAUGUAUAAAAAAUGGGCCAGGUACAGUGGCUUACGCCUAUAAUCCCAGCACUUUGGGGGCCAGGGCGGGCAGAUCACUUGAGGUCAGAAGUUUGAGACCAGCCUGGCCAACAUGGCGAAACCCCAUCUCUACUAAAAAUACAAAAAUUAGCCAGGCCUGGUGGAACACGCCUGUUGUCCCAGCUAUUCGGGAGGCUGAGGCAUGAGAAUUACUUGAACCUGGGAGGCAGAGGUUACAAUGAGCCAAAAUCAUGCCACUGCACCCCAGCGUGGGCAACAGAGUGAGACUCCAUCUCAAAAAAAAAAAAAAUGUACAGGCCAGGCACAGUGGCUUACACCUGUAAACCCUGCACUUUGGAAGGCUGAGGGAGGCUGAUCAUGAGGUCAGGAGAUCGAGACCAUCCUGACUAACACAGUAAAACCCCAUCUCUACUAAAAAUACAAAAAAUUAGUCGAGUGUGGUGGCACGUGCCUGUAAUCCCAGCUACUCAGGAGGCUGAAGCAGGAGAAUCGCUUGAACCCGGAGGCAGAGUUGCAGUGAGACAAGAUUGCGCCACCGCACUGGUAAGAGCGAGACUCCAUCUCAAAAAAGAUGUAUAAGGAAUAAGAGAAUAAUAAAAGCACUUCUUGUGCCCACCA